rnacentral:rRNA from 1 species
GAUGAACGCUGGCGGCGUGCCUAAUACAUGCAAGUCGAGCGAACAGACGAGGAGCUUGCUCCUCUGACGUUAGCGGCGGACGGGUGAGUAACACGUGGAUAACCUACCUAUAAGACUGGGAUAACUUCGGGAAACCGGAGCUAAUACCGGAUAAUAUAUUGAACCGCAUGGUUCAAUAGUGAAAGACGGUUUUGCUGUCACUUAUAGAUGGAUCCGCGCCGCAUUAGCUAGUUGGUAAGGUAACGGCUUACCAAGGCAACGAUGCGUAGCCGACCUGAGAGGGUGAUCGGGCACACUGGAACUGAGACACGGUCCAGACUCCUACGGGAGGCAGCAGUAGGGAAUCUUCCGCAAUGGGCGAAAGCCUGAAGGAGCCAAGCCGCGUGGGUGAAGAAGGUCUUCGGAUUGUAAAACCCUGUUAUUAGGGAAGAAAAAAAGUGGAAGUAAACAUGGCCGUUUUGACGGUACCCAAACAGAAAGCCCCGGCUAACUUCGUG